GCCAGCAGCCAUAUCACCCUACAACUCCCAGCUGGCAGCCCACUGAAGCUCAGCAGGUGUGAGCCUGGUCAGUACCUGGAUGGGUGACUCCUGGGAAAAACUAAGGUUGCUGCUGGAA
rnacentral:rRNA from 1 species